rnacentral:rRNA from 1 species
AUAUCAAUAAGCGGAGGAAAAGAAACCAACAGGGAUUGCCCUAGUAACGGCGAGUGAAGCGGCAACAGCUCAAAUUUGAAAUCUGGCUCUUUCAGGGUCCGAGUUGUAAUUUGUAGAGGGUGCUUUGGUGUUGACUACGGCCUAAGUUCCUUGGAACAGGACGUCACAGAGGGUGAGAAUCCCGUACGUGGCUGCUAGCCUUCACCGUGUAAAGCCCCUUCGACGAGUCGAGUUGUUUGGGAAUGCAGCUCUAAAUGGGAGGUAAAUUUCUUCUAAAGCUAAAUACUGGCCAGAGACCGAUAGCGCACAAGUAGAGUGAUCGAAAGAUGAAAAGCACUUUGGGAAGAGAGUCAAAAAGCAC